CCUACGGGAGGCAGCAGUGGGGAAUUUUGGACAAUGGGCGCAAGCCUGAUCCAGCAAUGCCGCGUGAGUGAAGAAGGCCUUCGGGUUGUAAAGCUCUUUUGUCAGGGAAGAAACGGCAGUUUCUAAUACAGAUUGCUAAUGACGGUACCUGAAGAAUAAGCACCGGCUAACUACGUGCCAGCAGCCGCGGUAAUACGUAGGGUGCAAGCGUUAAUCGGAAUUACUGGGCGUAAAGCGUGCGCAGGCGGUUUUGUAAGUUUGUCGUGAAAUCCCCGGGCUCAACCUGGGAAUGGCGAUGAAGACUGCAAGGCUAGAAUCUGGCAGAGGGGGGUAGAAUUCCACGUGUAGCAGUGAAAUGCGUAGAGAUGUGGAGGAACACCGAUGGCGAAGGCAGCCCCCUGGGUCAAGAUUGACGCUCAUGCACGAAAGCGUGGGGAGCAAACAGGAUUAGAUACCCUGGUAGUCCACGCCCUAAACGAUGUCUACUAGUUGUCGGGUUUUAAUAACUUGGUAACGCAGCUAACGCGUGAAGUGACCGCCUGGGGAGUACGGUCGCAAGNUUAAAACCGUNAAAUGAGUAGAGNGNGAGAGNGACGACGACGACGACGAGGAGGAGG
rnacentral:rRNA from 1 species